GGGAUAUCAAACCAGAGAACAUCCUGGUUGACCUGGCCACCGGGCAGGCCAAAUUGAUUGACUUUGGCUGUGGCACCUACCUGCAAGAGACAGCCUACACUCACUUUGCAGGAACACCAUCAUACAGCCCCCCGGAAUGGACCCGCUUUGGCUGGUACCAUGGCGAGCCAGCUACCAUCUGGUCCCUGGGCAUCCUGCUGCACCAGAUGGUCUGUGGGAAGAUGCCUUUCAGGAGGGGCUGGAACUUCAGCUGGGGCCAGCUCUCGCUGCCACAACGGCUCUCUCCAGAGUGCCAAAAUCUGAUCGGGUGGUGUUUAUCUAUGCACUCCUUGGACAGACCCUCAUUAGAAGAGGUGUUCUGUCAUCCUUGGAUGCAGGAUAUUCAUCUGCCCUAGAAGAAGAGAGAGAGCCAGAGGCACACUUUGAUCCAGGGCCCUGGGAAGGAGAAGGAGCUCCCAGAGAAGCUGUACCAGGUGGGGCUGCUGCUGCUGGAGACAGCGAGGAUGACAUCAAGGAUGACAACCUCUUCCUCAACCUGGCGACCAGCAGUUGAAGAGGAAGCAUUCUGGUUAGUCCAGUCUGGAUUGGGAAGUGCUUGGAGCAGCUGUGGCAUGGAUGGGCCGUGCCCUUGGAGCAGGCUGAGGACAUCGUUUGGGACCAGCUUUUCUUCCAGCCGUGGAUGGCAUGAGAAGUGCCACGAGUGGGCCAAACGUGGCAAGUGGGCCGUGUUCCUGAGGCAGUGCAGUCUGGAGCUGCUGGAUGGAGAAUUGCCCUGCUGCACUUCCAAACCAGAGCAAAGAGCUAAAACAUGUCCUGUAAAAGAAGUGUCCUUUUCUCCUGGUUCCCAUGUGGAGCACCUCCGUUCCUGCUGGCUGAGCUGCUCAGGCAGAGCCCAGCAGCUCCUGGCCCUGCAGGGCUGAGGCUUUUCCCCGUUGCUGGGCACAGACUGAUGGAGCAGCACUGCUGAACAUUGGGGCACACCCAGAGGGACCAGGAGCAGCUGCCUUUGGCCACCUGAGGCUCCAAGGCCCAAACUCUGAGCAGCCAGGGCUGGA